GCCUACUUCCUUGUGCCCACCGGAGUCGAGCUCCGUCAGUGCGUGAUUCUUGCCAAUCGCUAAACGUAGGACUCGAGGAAGGCCAUUGGCAAUUCUGCUGAGAAGACAGUGCAAGUGCCUAUAAAAACGACAGUUUAGGGGGAAAACAAACCAAUACCCGGAAAGCUGAGAGGCCAGCUUUUUAAUCGUCAUGGUUUUAUGUAAAAUAAAACAGCAAGUGGAAGGUAUUGUAAGCCCUUGGUGGCUGCUCGAGCCCCCAGGAAGGUGCUUGGUUCUUCCACCUCUGCCACUAAUUCGACAUCAGUUUCAUCGAGGAAAGCUGAAAAUAAAUAUGCAGGAGGGAAUCCCGUUUGCGUGCGCCCAACUCCCAAGUGGCAAAAAGGAAUUGGAGAAUUCUUUAGGUUGUCCCCUAAAGAUUCUGAAAAAGAGAAUCAGAUUCCUGAAGAGGCAGGAAGCAGUGGCUUAGGAAGAGCAAAGAGAAAAGCAUGUCCUUUGCAACCUGAUCACACAAAUGAUGAAAAAGAAUAGAACUUUCUCAUUCAUCUUUGAAUAACGUCUCCUUGUUUACCCUGGUAUUCUAGAAUGUAAUGUGUUUGUUCCAAUUAGCUUUGUUGAAAAGGCAUUUAAUUAAAAAAUUUAGGUUUAAAUUUAGAUGUUCAAAAGUAGUUGUGAAAUUUGA
rnacentral:sRNA from 1 species